CAGAGAUUCAGCCACGGAUCAGUUACACUCCGUGGCUAGUUUCGCUGUGGUGCAUUUUUCCACCUUAGGAGGCGCAGGCAAUAUGCAGUUAAAAUAUGGCAUUUGUUUGUAUAUAUUUUGUGGCACGAAGCCAGUUGCGACGUUGAAGAAAUUUGAAGCCUUCUUCACCUACAGGCUCACUUUGAAUUUCGAAUCGCUUGCUCAAUACUAGUUUCCUAGGCGCGCAUAUUUAGCCUUGAGAGGAUAUUCCAAUCAAAAGCUAAAAUCUCCAAAAAAAACUAAACUAACCAGAAAACUGUAGCUUGACCCUUCAGAACGAGAACUCUAUUGUUGAUGGUUGAUAAACUCAGUUUGCUUUACAGUUUGUAUUCAAGGCCUGAGUAGAGCGGCAUCCAAAAUUUCACAAUUUUGUUCAGUAGUAAAUUUCCAAAAUAUAGUAUGUUAAUUUACC